rnacentral:rRNA from 1 species
AUAACCGGCGAUUUCCGAAUGGGGAAACCCAGUGUGAUUCGUCACACUAUCAUUAACUGAAUCCAUAGGUUAAUGAGGCGAACCGGGGGAACUGAAACAUCUAAGUACCCCGAGGAAAAGAAAUCAACCGAGAUUCCCCCAGUAGCGGCGAGCGAACGGGGAGCAGCCCAGAGCCUGAAUCAGUGUGUGUGUUAGUGGAAGCGUCUGGAAAGGCGCGCGAUACAGGGUGACAGCCCCGUACACAAAAAUKCACAUGCUGUGAGCUCGAUGAGUAGGGCGGGACACGUGGUAUCCUGUCUGAAUAUGGGGGGACCAUCCUCCAAGGCUAAAUACUCCUGACUGACCGAUAGUGAACCAGUACCGUGAGGGAAAGGCGAAAAGAACCCCGGCGAGGGGAGUGAAAAAGAACCUGAAACCGUGUACGUACAAGCAGUGGGAGCACGCUUAGGCGUGUGACUGCGUACCUUUUGUAUAAUGGGUCAGCGACUUAUAUUCUGUAGCAAGGUUAACCGAAUAGGGGAGCCGAAGGGAAACCGAGUCUUAACUGGGCGUUAAGUUGCAGGGUAUAGACCCGAAACCCGGUGAUCUAGCCAUGGGCAGGUUGAAGGUUGGGUAACACUAACUGGAGGACCGAACCGACUAAUGUUGAAAAAUUAGCGGAUGACUUGUGGCUGGGGGUGAAAGGCCAAUCAAACCGGGAGAUAGCUGGUUCUCCCCGAAAGCUAUUUAGGUAGCGCCUCGUGAAUUCAUCUCCGGGGGUAGAGCACUGUUUCGGCAAGGGGGUCAUCCCGACUUACCAACCCGAUGCAAACUGCGAAUACCGGAGAAUGUUAUCACGGGAGACACACGGCGGGUGCUAACGUCCGUCGUGAAGAGGGAAACAACCCAGACCGCCAGCUAAGGUCCCAAAGUCAUGGUUAAGUGGGAAACGAUGUGGGAAGGCCCAGACAGCCAGGAUGUUGGCUUAGAAGCAGCCAUCAUUUAAAGAAAGCGUAAUAGCUCACUGGUCGAGUCGGCCUGCGCGGAAGAUGUAACGGGGCUAAACCAUGCACCGAAGCUGCGGCAGCGACGCUUAUGCGUUGUUGGGUAGGGGAGCGUUCUGUAAGCCUGUGAAGGUGUGCUGUGAGGCAUGCUGGAGGUAUCAGAAGUGCGAAUGCUGACAUAAGUAACGAUAAAGCGGGUGAAAAGCCCGCUCGCCGGAAGACCAAGGGUUCCUGUCCAACGUUAAUCGGGGCAGGGUGAGUCGACCCCUAAGGCGAGGCCGAAAGGCGUAGUCGAUGGGAAACAGGUUAAUAUUCCUGUACUUGGUGUUACUGCGAAGGGGGGACGGAGAAGGCUAUGUUGGCCGGGCGACGGUUGUCCCGGUUUAAGCGUGUAGGCUGGUUUUCCAGGCAAAUCCGGAAAAUCAAGGCUGAGGCGUGAUGACGAGGCACUACGGUGCUGAAGCAACAAAUGCCCUGCUUCCAGGAAAAGCCUCUAAGCAUCAGGUAACAUCAAAUCGUACCCCAAACCGACACAGGUGGUCAGGUAGAGAAUACCAAGGCGCUUGAGAGAACUCGGGUGAAGGAACUAGGCAAAAUGGUGCCGUAACUUCGGGAGAAGGCACGCUGAUAUGUAGGUGAAGUCCCUCGCGGAUGGAGCUGAAAUCAGUCGAAGAUACCAGCUGGCUGCAACUGUUUAUUAAAAACACAGCACUGUGCAAACACGAAAGUGGACGUAUACGGUGUGACGCCUGCCCGGUGCCGGAAGGUUAAUUGAUGGGGUCAGCGCAAGCGAAGCUCUUGAUCGAAGCCCCGGUAAACGGCGGCCGUAACUAUAACGGUCCUAAGGUAGCGAAAUUCCUUGUCGGGUAAGUUCCGACCUGCACGAAUGGCGUAAUGAUGGCCAGGCUGUCUCCACCCGAGACUCAGUGAAAUUGAACUCGCUGUGAAGAUGCAGUGUACCCGCGGCAAGACGGAAAGACCCCGUGAACCUUUACUAUAGCUUGACACUGAACAUUGAGCCUUGAUGUGUAGGAUAGGUGGGAGGCUUAGAAGUGUGGACGCCAGUCUGCAUGGAGCCGACCUUGAAAUACCACCCUUUAAUGUUUGAUGUUCUAACGUUGACCCGUAAUCCGGGUUGCGGACAGUGUCUGGUGGGUAGUUUGACUGGGGCGGUCUCCUCCUAAAGAGUAACGGAGGAGCACGAAGGUUGGCUAAUCCUGGUCGGACAUCAGGAGGUUAGUGCAAUGGCAUAAGCCAGCUUGACUGCGAGCGUGACGGCGCGAGCAGGUGCGAAAGCAGGUCAUAGUGAUCCGGUGGUUCUGAAUGGAAGGGCCAUCGCUCAACGGAUAAAAGGUACUCCGGGGAUAACAGGCUGAUACCGCCCAAGAGUUCAUAUCGACGGCGGUGUUUGGCACCUCGAUGUCGGCUCAUCACAUCCUGGGGCUGAAGUAGGUCCCAAGGGUAUGGCUGUUCGCCAUUUAAAGUGGUACGCGAGCUGGGUUUAGAACGUCGUGAGACAGUUCGGUCCCUAUCUGCCGUGGGCGCUGGAGAACUGAGGGGGGCUGCUCCUAGUACGAGAGGACCGGAGUGGACGCAUCACUGGUGUUCGGGUUGUCAUGCCAAUGGCACUGCCCGGUAGCUAAAUGCGGAAGAGAUAAGUGCUGAAAGCAUCUAAGCACGAAACUUGCCCCGAGAUGAGUUCUCCCUGACUCCUUGAGAGUCCUGAAGGAACGUUGAAGACGACGACGUUGAUAGGCCGGGUGUGUAAGCGCAGCGAUGCGUUGAGCUAACCGGUACUAAUGAACCGUGAGGCUUAACCUUACAACGCCGAAGCUGUU